GUGGAGCAGCAUGGUAGCUCGUCGGGCUCAUAACCCGAAGGUCGUCGGUUCAAAUCCGGCC
rnacentral:tRNA from 1 species